rnacentral:lncRNA from 1 species
CAAGUCAUACACUUUUCGUCAAAACAAGGAACAAUGUGGCCUCCAAUGGCUAUCAUCACUUAUAAAUUCUUUGUGCCUUGUUUAUGAAGCAAACUGCUGUAUAUUCAAGCAUUAUAACAGUGUGCAUACCCCUGAAAACAAGCUCAGUAUGGAGGUUUCAUAAUUGUACCCGAGAAGAUAAUUAGGCAAUUAGAGCUAUUAAAAGUUGACAAAGCACCAAGCCUGAAUGAAUUAUAUUCCUGCUUUCUAAGAGGAGAAGUAGGGGAAAAUAAAAAGACCUCCAGUCAAUCUGUUCAAUAUCCUUCUGAGGAAGAAAGUCGUGCCCAGAGGGCAAAAGAUGGGAGGUGUGACUUCUCUACUGCCACCCCCAGGAUUCAAGAAGGGAUCAGGAGAGGAUUUGUUGGAGAUGUGAAAGUCUCAUAUCAUUUGCACAGAUUAUACUGAACACAUUAAUAAGGUGAAAUUAACUUUGCAAAAUAUGUAAUUGGGUAAAAACAUGAGAUGAAAAUAAAACAAUGGAACUAAUGAUUUAAUUUCUGAAAAGCAGCUGAUGCCUUGGCUCACACCAAACAUGCGUCUGAAGCCAGCUAAGAAGAUUAUUAAAAAGACUGCAUUUUAAAUAUGUGAGAAACACAACAGAUUAAAUUGAGUUUUGUAAGUGAAUAAUACAAACUAGGAAGAGGGGCAACCCUAGUAGCCCUUGCUCCCUGAUCUACUUGUUAAGUUCCCAGUGAUCUUAUGUGACGUAAAAUUAUUGCAGUUUCCCAAAUUGACAAACAUAAUUGCUGAGACUGAUGAAAGAGAAUAUUGGGAUGCUGCCUUGGAGUCUGUUGGAAAGUACUUAGAAGUUGACAGAUGGUGCAUACAUUUGGAGGUUGAGAAGGGUGAGAAGGUAAUGAGACUGGGGACCAAAAACAAUUACAGUGUCUUAAGCCUCAAAUGCAGCAUAAUUGUGGCUGUAGAGUAGGCAAAACAAUUGAGUUUAAUGUAUUCAUAAUGUUUGUCAGAAGUUCAAGAAACAAAACCUGGAGGUGUAGAGUCUGAAAGCAUAAGUCAAAUGAUUGCAGAACACUCUCCUCAUUCAGUCAUUAGAAAAUUCAGGCAAUAAAUAUUUAUUGAUGCA